AGUUCUGUUAAGAGCUGGGCACAAAGAGCCCUUUGCACUCCAGCCGCAGGAGCGAGGAGCAGCCGAGACCUGGGGCGUCCAGCGCAGCCUCAAACCCAGGGCAUCUCUGCACUCUCAUCGCGACGUCGCUCUGGAUGCUGUUUGCAUAUCCUUGGGGAGUCACUGCUUUGACACAACAGUACUGCGAGGUGUUGGAAUUCCAUCUGUUCUCAUCACACGGACAUGGCUGAUCUGUCUCAGUGGUACCUGGGGGCAAAGCAGGGAGCCGGGCGGUGGAGGCCAACAUUGUUACCAAGUUGGCUCUGUCUCAACACAGGGACUGAGCCUUCUGAGCCUCAAGAGUUCCUGCUGGUUCCC
rnacentral:lncRNA from 1 species